GCGCCUGUAGCUCAGCAGGAUAGAGCAACAGCCUUCUAAGCUGUGGGUCAGGAGUUCGAGUCUUCUCAGGCGCGCCA
rnacentral:tRNA from 1 species